rnacentral:lncRNA from 1 species
GACCCAUCCCAUGGUCCCACCUUCACCUCCGAUGGUGAUCACGGUGGUUGUAUGGUGGUCAAAAAGCCGGUCACAGUUCCUGGGAACUUUCACCGGGAAGUCCUCCAGCGGCGCGUCCACCGACAGCAUCCUGCUGAUCCAGGUCGAGGUGUCGGAGUGGAACAAAUGGAGCUCGAACUGGUGAACGGUGCCCGUGAAAUUCAACGCGGCGACGGUGUAAUGGCCAUCCGGACGAGGAAGGAGGCCGGCGGAGGAGCUGGAGAGGUGGGGGUGCGGGCGCCGCAGCAGCUCGAGCGACGGACGGGUGGAGUCGGCCCGGUAGACGAAGUAGUCGUAGUCCCUGCCACGCGAGUCACAGGGCCCGGACCCCAUGUUGACGCGGAGGAGGAG